rnacentral:rRNA from 1 species
CGGAGGCUGCAGUGGGGAAUAUUGCACAAUGGGCGCAAGCCUGAUGCAGCAACGCCGCGUGAGGGACGAAGGCCUUCGGGUUGUAAACCUCUUUUAGUAGGGAAGAAGCGAAAGUGACGGUACCUGCAGAAAAAGCACCGGCUAACUACGUGCCAGCAGCCGCGGUAAUACGUAGGGUGCAAGCGUUAUCCGGAAUUAUUGGGCGUAAAGAGCUCGUAGGCGGUUUGUCGCGUCUGCUGUGAAAACUGGAGGCUCAACCUCCAGCCUGCAGUGGGUACGGGCAGACUAGAGUGCGGUAGGGGAGAUUGGAAUUCCUGGUGUAGCGGUGGAAUGCGCAGAUAUCAGGAGGAACACCGAUGGCGAAGGCAGAUCUCUGGGCCGUAACUGACGCUGAGGAGCGAAAGCAUGGGGAGCGAACAGGAUUAGAUACCCUGGUAGUCCAUGCCGUAAACGUUGGGAACUAGAUGUAGGGACCAUUCCACGGUUUCUGUGUCGCAGCUAACGCAUUAAGUUCCCCGCCUGGGGAGUACGGCCGCAAGGCUAAAACUCAAAGGAAUUGACGGGGGCCCGCACAAGCGGCGGAGCAUGCGGAUUAAUUCGAUGCAACGCGAAGAACCUUACCAAGGCUUGACAUAUACGAGAACGGGCCA